rnacentral:sRNA from 1 species
AUUAUAAAAUGUUGAAUAAAAAGCUCAUCUGCUUCUGGCAGAUGGGCUUUUUCCAUGGGG